rnacentral:rRNA from 1 species
GACAGAGGCCUCGAGCGUUAGGCGGAAUCACUGGGCUUAAAGCGUGUGUAGGCGGAUGCCUAAGUACCUUGUGAAAUCCCCACGGCUCACCCGUGGAACCGCUGGGUAUACUGGGCAUCUUGGGCCAUUCAGGGGCAACUGGAACAAGCGGUGGAGCGGUGAAAUGCGUAGAUAUCGCUUGGAACGCCGACGGUGAAAACAGGUUGCUGGGAAUGUGCCGACGCUGAGACACGAAAGCCAGGGGAGCAAACGGG